GCAGGGCCACCGAUGGCCGGAUGUUGUUGAUGUCAAUAGUAGAGACGCAGUCUGCCUUGCU
rnacentral:tRNA from 1 species